CGAGUCUCCCAGGUGAUCGCGCGCGGCGCGCCGACGCCCCCGCUUCAACGCGGGGGACCGAGGCCGUCGCGUGAGGAAAGUCCGAACUCCACAGGGCAGGGUGCUGGGUAAUUCCCAGGGGGCGCGAGCCCACGGAAAGUGGAACAGAGAGCAGACCGCCAGCGGGCGGUCCGCGCGAGCGGGCCGCAGCGGGCAAGGGUGAAACGGUGCGGUAAGAGCGCACCAGCGGUCCCGGUGACGGGGCCGGCUCGCCAAACCCCACCCGGAGCAAGACCGCAUAGAGGGGGAGCCGUGUGUCCCGCGGCGCCAUCACCCCGGGGUCGGUCGCAUCGAGCCGUUCCGGAAACGGACGGCCCAGACAAAUGAUCACCACGGAGCGAUCCGGACAGAAUUCGGCUUACCGGGAGACUCGCCCC
rnacentral:RNase_P_RNA from 1 species